rnacentral:rRNA from 1 species
AAAGACGGUCUUGCUGUCACUUAUAGAUGGAUCCGCGCUGCAUUAGCUAGUUGGUAAGGUAACGGCUUACCAAGGCAACGAUGCAUAGCCGACCUGAGAGGGUGAUCGGCCACACUGGAACUGAGACACGGUCCAGACUCCUACGGGAGGCAGCAGUAGGGAAUCUUCCGCAAUGGGCGAAAGCCUGACGGAGCAACGCCGCGUGAGUGAUGAAGGUCUUCGGAUCGUAAAACUCUGUUAUUAGGGAAGAACAUAUGUGUAAGUAACUGUGCACAUCUUGACGGUACCUAAUCAGAAAGCCACGGCUAACUACGUGCCAGCAGCCGCGGUAAUACGUAGGUGGCAAGCGUUAUCCGGAAUUAUUGGGCGUAAAGCGCGCGUAGGCGGUUUUUUAAGUCUGAUGUGAAAGCCCACGGCUCAACCGUGGAGGGUCAUUGGAAACUGGAAAACUUGAGUGCAGAAGAGGAAAGUGGAAUUCCAUGUGUAGCGGUGAAAUGCGCAGAGAUAUGGAGGAACACCAGUGGCGAAGGCGACUUUCUGGUCUGUAACUGACGCUGAUGUGCGAAAGCGUGGGGAUCAAACAGGAUUAGAUACCCUGGUAGUCCACGCCGUAAACGAUGAGUGCUAAGUGUUAGGGGGUUUCCGCCCCUUAGUGCUGCAGCUAACGCAUUAAGCACUCCGCCUGGGGAGUACGACCGCAAGGUUGAAACUCAAAGGAAUUGACGGGGACCCGCACAAGCGGUGGAGCAUGUGGUUUAAUUCGAAGCAACGCGAAGAACCUUACCAAAUCUUGACAUCCUUUGACAACUCUAGAGAUAGAGCCUUCCCCUUCGGGGGACAAAGUGACAGGUGGUGCAUGGUUGUCGUCAGCUCGUGUCGUGAGAUGUUGGGUUAAGUCCCGCAACGAGCGCAACCCUUAAGCUUAGUUGCCAUCAUUAAGUUGGGCACUCUAAGUUGACUGCCGGUGACAAACCGGAGGAAGGUGGGGAUGACGUCAAAUCAUCAUGCCCCUUAUGAUUUGGGCUACACACGUGCUACAAUGGACAAUACAAAGGGCAGCGAAACCGCGAGGUCAAGCAAAUCCCAUAAAGUUGUUCUCAGUUCGGAUUGUAGUCUGCAACUCGACUACAUGAAGCUGGAAUCGCUAGUAAUCGUAGAUCAGCAUGCUACGGUGAAUACGUUCCCGGGUCUUGUACACACCGCCCGUCACACCACGAGAGUUUGUAACACCCGAAGCCGGUGGAGUAACCUUUUAGGAGCUAGCCGUCGAAGGUGGGACAAAUGAUUGGGGUGAAGUCGUAACAAGGUAGCCGUAUCGGAAGGUGCGGCUG